rnacentral:tRNA from 1 species
GCGAAAGUGGCGGAAUUGGUAGACGCGCUAGAUUCAGGUUCUAGUGGGCAGUAUGCCUGUGGGGGUUCGAGUCCCCCCUUUCGCA